rnacentral:rRNA from 1 species
CAGUAGCCACGGGAAUACGAAGGGUGCAAGCGUUACUCGGAAUUACUGGGCGUAAAGCGUGCGUAGGUGGUGGUUUAAGUCCGUUGUGAAAGCCCUGGGCUCAACCUGGGAAUUGCAGUGGAUACUGGGUCACUAGAGUGUGGUAGAGGAUAGUGGAAUUUCCGGUGUAGCAGUGAAAUGCGUAGAGAUCGGAAGGAACAUCUGUGGCGAAGGCGACUAUCUGGGCCAACACUGACACUGAGGCACGAAAGCGUGGGGAGCAAACAGGAUUAGAUACCCCCGAAGUCCCUGUCUCUUAUAA